rnacentral:rRNA from 1 species
GUCCACGCUGUAAACGUUGGGCGCUAGGUGUGGGGAGCCUCUCCGGUUCUCUGUGCCGCAGCUAACGCAUUAAGCGCCCCGCCUGGGGAGUACGGCCGCAAGGCUAAAACUCAAAGGAAUUGACGGGGGCCCGCACAAGCGGCGGAGCAUGCGGAUUAAUUCGAUGCAACGCGAAGAACCUUACCUGGGUUUGACAUGGGCGCUAAAACCGCAGAGAUGCGGUGUCCUUCGGGGCGGUUCACAGGUGGUGCAUGGCUGUCGU